rnacentral:rRNA from 1 species
UACAGAGGUCUCAAGCGUUGUUCGGAUUCAUUGGGCGUAAAGGGUUCGUAGGCGGCGCGGCAAGUCGGGUGUGAAAUCUCGGAGCUUAACUCCGAAACUGCAUUCGAUACUGCCGUGCUUGAGGACUGGAGAGGAGACUGGAAUUUACGGUGUAGCGGUGAAAUGCGUAGAUAUCGUAAGGAAGACCAGUGGCGAAGGCGGGUCUCUGGACAGUUACUGACGCUGAGGAACGAAGGCCAGGGGAGCAAACGGG